AGAGUUUGAUCCUGGCUCAGGACGAACGCUGGCGGCGUGCUUAACGCAUGCAAGUCGAACGGAAAGGCCCUUCGGGGUACUCGAGUGGCGAACGGGUGAGUAACACGUGGGUGAUCUGCCCUGCACUUUGGGAUAAGCCUGGGAAACUGGGUCUAAUACCGAAUAUGACCAUGCACUUCCUGGUGUGUGGUGGAAAGCUUUUGCGGUGUGGGAUGGGCCCGCGGCCUAUCAGCUUGUUGGUGGGGUAAUGGCCUACCAAGGCGACGACGGGUAGCCGGCCUGAGAGGGUGACCGGCCACACUGGGACUGAGAUACGGCCCAGACUCCUACGGGAGGCAGCAGUGGGGAAUAUUGCACAAUGGGCGCAAGCCUGAUGCAGCGACGCCGCGUGAGGGAUGACGGCCUUCGGGUUGUAAACCUCUUUCAGCACAGACGAAGCGCAAGUGACGGUAUGUGCAGAAGAAGGACCGGCCAACUACGUGCCAGCAGCCGCGGUAAUACGUAGGGUCCGAGCGUUGUCCGGAAUUACUGGGCGUAAAGAGCUCGUAGGUGGUUUGUCGCGUUGUUCGUGAAAACUCACAGCUUAACUGUGGGCGUGCGGGCGAUACGGGCAGACUUGAGUACUGCAGGGGAGACUGGAAUUCCUGGUGUAGCGGUGGAAUGCGCAGAUAUCAGGAGGAACACCGGUGGCGAAGGCGGGUCUCUGGGCAGUAACUGACGCUGAGGAGCGAAAGCGUGGGGAGCGAACAGGAUUAGAUACCCUGGUAGUCC
rnacentral:rRNA from 1 species